rnacentral:lncRNA from 1 species
UGUUGUGGGCGUUUGAGAGAGACAAGAGUUGGAACAUAAUAAUAAUCAAUGCGGCGGCUGCUCGCCGGAGAUAAGCCAUUUUGGGAGUGUCGGCGGCUAGGUGAUUAGUGGAGUUGUGUGGUAGCAAUGAAGAAGAAAGAAAUGCUAUAAUUAUAAGAGAUAUGAUUAAUAAUAAUAAGAAUCAAAGCUGUCUCGGAUAUUUUACAGCGCAGAAGCAGGUAAGAGGGGCCACAUGCCCACAUAAGUUUGUGUCUGAAAGUAACAUGGGGUGUCCGAUUUAUAUAUUUAUAUGUACGCAACAAACCGACACUUUUUUUCUUCUUCUUCUUUUUCAUCAACUUCACCGACAGUUAUUUUCACAAUCCUUCUAGACAUUCUCGUCCAUGUACUUUCCGAGUCUAUGAUUUCAGACACCGGUCACUUUUCUGGCACCGGCUGCAGAAGAAUGUACUUUUGUAAGGGAAAGACGGUUAACUUUAUAAGCUGCUAACUGUCGGUUACUACAAAUGCUCCCGGUUCAGCCAUAUUAAUUUGGUUGGCUUGACUUACUACUUAUGCAGCCUAAUGCUACUCUUUAUUUGUCACAUUGUACCAAAACAUGGUUCAGAAUUGUUGGUUUGUGUACAUUUGAAGAACUGGUCUACAAACAUUUCGCCAGUUUAUCCAUAAAUGAACGCAAAAAGAAAAAGAAGAAGCCAAAAAAACCAACAAGGUAAAUCAAAAGAGAAGGAAACAAGUUCAAUACCCAAAUAGUUUUCUCUUAUUAUCCAACUCAACCUCAAACUCCAGCACACUGAUCUCAAUGUAACCUUUGUAGUAGAUAUACGCUCCAUAGAAGAAGCGAGCAAGAGAAGGAACAACAAAACUCUAAGAAACAUGAUUACUUGUGUCUAAUCAAUUCGCCUGCUAAAGAAACUUCAAAUAGUGAUUGGUCAUUUGGCCAACCAUGGAUAGAUUUUGUGUUUGAAGAGUUCUUAUUCAUUGUAUCCAGAAACAGAAGUCACUUAUCUGAUAAACCCUUGCCCUCAAGCUCGCUCACCGAGCGUGUCAAGAAGAAGUUAUCAAGAGCAGAAGUGCCAUGAUCACAAGCUUGAGAAUGUGUUGAGCUGAGUGAUUCAAAGAUAGAUUAUGAUGAGGCCCGGCUCAAAAUAUUUUUGGGCCUUGUGCAUAAUCAAUCUUUUAUACCAUAUAUAGUCUUAAGUUUAUCAUUUUUGUAAAUUGUAGACUUUUUUAACGAAAAAACAGAAAUUAAGGACCCCAAAAUAUAAAGAAAAACUAAAGAAAAAAACGAGACCAUGUGCAAAAAAAACACGUAUAAAGCCGGCACUGAUUAUGAUGUACAUUACAGAAAGCUAAAGAUGCUUAUAGGAUGUUUCUUGAAUAUAUUAGGAACGACGUAAUCCCUUUGAGCCAAAAGUGGACGAUGAUCAUUUAUGAUAACUAUGCAAUGUAUUAUGUAUGAAUAGUUCCCUUCCACAUAAUGUUUAUAAGAAUGUGAGAGACUUUCACAGAAAACAUCAAGAGUCAAACUCUUUAACCAGGUCAAUUUUGUUUUGUUUAUUGAUGGAUGGUGGGUCUUCAGCUCAUUUUGCGAGUUGGAUCAGAAGAAUGAAGUCCAUUAUCAACAAAAGGCCCAUCGCCGAAUCAACCCAGGUAGAAAAGACACCUCCCCACACAAGGAUGUGCAGUGUAGCAGUAAGAUAUCAAUAAUAUGUGUCUACCGCCGAGCAUAGCUUGUGCCAGCAACUUCGAGCAAUAAGUAUAAUGAUGAUUGUCGGAACAACUUCCUGACACAAUCACUACAAAAGCAAGGAAAGAAAGAAGGAGCUCCAUAAAUACGUAUUGAAUGAAAAAGAAAAAAGGGGAGAUUUAGAGAGAAUCACUAUGCGCUCUUAAACAGUUCAAAAAACUGUUCUUAUGAGAGUUAAGUUUUGCAGUUCUUUUCUGGGUUUGACUUGUACACUAGCUACAAGAAAACAUGGGCUUGACGACUACAAAAGUAGUUGUUAAGUCGUCGUAAUACAUUGAUUACGACGAACUAACUACGAAUACGAAAUCGUUAUUAGCGGCUCGUCGUAGUGGACGAUUCAUCGUAAAGGAGACGUAAUCCUCACGACUGACACAUGUCGUUGUAAUAUAGACGUAAAAGAAUUCGUCGUAAAGGAGACUAACUUUACGUCCUUUACAGAAAUCGUUUAUUGGACGUAACAGUUUGACGUUAUGUCAUCGUAAAUAUUACAACGAAUAAACAUCGACAACUGUUGUUAAAAUGUCGUAAUAUUUACGACUAUAUUACAUCGCAUUUCAAUGUUAAUUGGUCGUAAUAUUUACGACCAGAUUACGUAGUAUAUUAUAAUAUAAUAUAAUAUAAAAUAUAUUUAUUUGUAAUAUUAAUUAUAAAUUUAAAAUAUUAAAAAAUUGAGAUGAAAUUUUAAAAUAUUUUUAAAUUUGGAAAAUUCUAAAGAAAAAUAUAAUAUAUCAUAAAACAUCCAAAAUGUUAUAAUAUCGAAAAUAGAAAACAUUAAUACAUAACCGAAAGAAAAUCUAAUUAUUAAGGUUGAUGUCGUNNNNNNNNNNNNNNNNNNNNNNNNNNNNNNNNNNNNNNNNNNNNNNNNNNNNNNNNNNNNNNNNNNNNNNNNNNNNNNNNNNNNNNNNNNNNNNNNNNNNAAUAAAAAUAAAAACUUUCCUUAAAUAGAAUUUUAGACAAUUUAUCUAAAAUAUACAACCUAUUGAUAAAAAAAAUCUUAAAGAAUACACAUCUAUCAACAAAAAAUUUUGUUAUCCUCAUUUCUAAAUCAGAACCUGAAAACUACAAUAGUUCUCAAUAAAAAUAAAAAAUUUACUUAUAUAGAAUUUUUGAGAAUUUUAUCUAAAAUAUACAACCUAUUGAUAACAAAAUCUUUAAAAAAACUCAUCUAUCAACAAAAAUUCUUGUUAUCCUAAUUUCUAAAUCACAACCCCUAAUCUACAAUAUUUCUUUAAAAAUGAAAAAUUCCUAAAAUAAAAUUGUUGAGAUUUAUUUUAAAAAAAUACAACUAUUGAUCAAAAAAUCUAAAAGAAUACUCAUCUAUAAACAAAAAAUUCUUGUUGUCUUAAUUUCAAAAUCAAAACCCCAAAUCCACACUAUUAUUCACAAAAAUGAAAACUUUCCAAAAAUAGAAUUUUUGAGAAUUUUAUCUAAAGUAUACAACCUAUUGAUCAAAACUUUUAAAAGAAUAAACAUCUAUCAACAAAAAUUGUUGUUAUCCUAAUUUCUAAAUCAGAACCUCAAACUACAAUAGUUCUCAAUAAAAAUAAAAACUUUUCUUAAAUAGAAUUUUUGAGAAUUUUAUCUAAAAUAUACAACCAAUUGAUAAAAAAAUCUUAAAAAAUACACAUCUAUCAACAAAAAUUCAUGUUAUCGUAAUUUCUAAAUCACAACCCCAAAUCGACAAAAUUUCUAUUAAAAAUUAAAACUUUGCUAAAAUAAAAUUUUUGAGAAUUUUUUUUAUUACCAAAGACUGUUGCCUGGCCAUGACCCACCCUCGGGUGUGCGUCCGCGCCGCUAAAGGGCUCGGUCUCUAGUCUGGACCAUCACAGUAGGGCCAGGACACUCAGUUAUCAAAAAAAAAAACAAGAUAAAAACAAUACAUAUUAUCUUGUAGACAAUAAUUAUCCAAAUCACUAGAUUUUUUCUUUUAUAUUAUUUAUAUUUCUUUAACCAAUGUAACUUUUAAGGUGAGAGUUUAGAGUGAAAAAUCACUACACAGAAUAAUAUAUAUAUUUCAAAAAAAAAUCAAAUAAGAAAAAUAUCUGAAUUCAUUUCACCAGGCUGAUACUCACAUAUAGAUGGGUUGGGAAACUUCUGGUUUGUUGUAAACUCCAUAAUUUUCUCGUCUGUGCAGAUUUUAAGAUGAUUCCACUUGUCCUUAGAACAUAUGGUUGAGUUUAGAAUUUUUCAUGGCAAAAUACAUUUUGGUUGGCAAGCUAUGGCAUUGUCACUGCACAUAUGUCAUGCUCGGUCUUUCAGUUAGUUAAAUGGUGUCUUGUCGACCUCAGGUCCAGCUACCGUCAUGGAUGUUGCAUCAGUAACUUGUUAGGAGAAAUUCUCUUUUUUUUUAGGAUGAAAGUUAGAGUGUUGGCUGAGGUGAAGGAAUUGGCGGUCCAGAAAUCUUGGAUUGCUGCUCGUUUGACACACGACCCAAAGGUCUGGUCGAUGACCGAGUGUGAUCUAAAUGGAACCGGAAACCAACAACGCUUUUUGGAUUGACUCGGUGGGUGGAAUAAAUGGGUACUGACUCGUUCAAUCAAUGGAGAAUAUGGAGCUUGAAUCACCCAAACAAUAUUGUGUGGAUUCCUUAGAACUUAGAGAACUAAGGGAAAAUAGAACACAAAUUACUCAACUUUUUGUGAAAUUGAAUAAUACUUUCACUAAAAAUUAAAUUUAUCAAGGGUAACUUAUAACUGAGAUGUCAAAGGAACUUAUAUAAUGCUCAGAAAUAGCUAAGAACUUACAUAAUAACUUAACCUUGUCUUUGGAACAUGGUUAAGUUUAAAGAAGCAUAUCAGGAUCUCUGUGAAAAGCAGGAAGCAACCCUGAAGGAUCCCUCUCAAGUUCACAUCCAAGCAGAACUCACAGCAGCAGAGAGAUGGCAGAGGGUCUCAGCCAUAGAGGAAAAGAUUUUGAAACAAAGAUCGAAGCUCCAUUGGUUGCAAGUUGGAGACAAAAAUAACAAAGUUUUCCACAAUGCUGUCAAGAUAAGGGAGACAAAGAAUGCAAUAAGAGAAAUAAGAUGUCCAUCAGGGCAAGUGGUCAGUUCACAAGAAGACAUAAAGAAAGAAGCUGAGAGGUUCUUUACUGAAUUCCUCUCACAGGUACCUGAAGGACUGCAAGGGAAAACAGUGGAAGAGAUGAAACAGAUCAUACAAUAUCGAUGCUCGGAGGAAGAAAAAAAUGCGCUUGUCAAGCCGGUUACAGAUGCGGAAAUUAGAGAUGUGUUAUUUGGGAUGCCUAAGGAAAAGUCCCCGGGACCUGAUGGGUUCACUGCAGAGUUUUUCAAGGCUUCUUGGAGUAUUAUUUCAAAGGAUUUUACCACUGCGGUGCAUUCUUUUUUCAGCAAGGGGUUCUUACCGAAGGGACUCAACACCACCAUACUUGCUUUGAUCCCCAAGAAAGAUGAUGCGAUGGAAAUGCGAGACUACAGACCCAUAGCCUGCUGCAACGUACUUUACAAGGUCAUCUCUAAGAUAAUCGCCAAUCGGCUCAAGGGAACACUCCCUCAUUGCAUCACCUACAAUCAGUCAGCGUUUGUGAAGGAUCGAUUAUUAGUAGAGAAUCUCCUUCUAGCUACGGAAAUUGUCAAGGACUAUCACAAAGAGGAUAUAACCCCGAGAUGCGCAAUGAAAAUUGACAUCGCAAAAGCCUUUGAUUCUGUUCACUGGCCAUUUCUCCUAACCACCUUGAGAGCCCUCGACAUGCCGGAGCCGUUCAUACACUGGAUUGAGCUGUGUGUAUGUACGCCGUCUUUUUCAGUUCAGAUUAAUGGAGAACUGGCGGGGUUUUUUCAGAGCAAAAGAGGGUUGAGGCAAGGAUGUGCGCUCUCGCCUUAUCUAUUUGUCAUAUGCAUGAAUGUGCUAUCUCACAUGCUAGACAAGGCCGCAGCUAGGAAAGAGAUAGGCUAUCACCCUCGGUGCCAGAACAUCCUUUUGACUCACCUGUGCUUUGCAGAUGACCUGCUAGUCUUCACUGAUGGUACAAAAAGCUCCAUUGAAGGUAUAUUUGGGAUAUUUGAAGCUUUUGCUGUGAUGUCAGGGCUAAAGAUCAGCUUGGAAAAGUCAACUCUCUACAUGGCUGGUACUACUGAAGAACAGGAAUUGGAAAUUCUAUCAUGUUUUCCCUUUGCUUCAGGUCAAUUGCCGGUACGGUACUUAGGCCUUCCUCUGCUUACCAAGAGGAUGACUGUAAAUGACUACAUGCCUUUAGUGGAAAAGAUCAGGAAAAGAAUGAGUUCAUGGACUGGUCGUUUCCUCUCACACGCUGGUCGGCUUCAACUGAUCAACUCGGUCAUUAUGAGUCUUGCAAACUUUUGGCUAGCUGCAUUCAGAUUACCAAGUAGCUGCCUGAAAGAGAUAGAGCGACUGUGCACAGCCUUCUUGUGGUCUGGACCGGAUCUUAAAACCACGAAAGCAAAAGUUAGCUGGCAAGACAUUUGUCUACCAAGAAAUGAGGGCGGCUUGGGCAUUAGGCCCUUGAAGGAAGUAAAUAAUGUUCACUGCCUGAAGCUUAUAUGGAGAAUAGCAUCGUCGCGCUCUUCUUUGUGGGUCAAAUGGAUCCACUGCUACUUGAUAAGGAAGGGAUCUUUUUGGUCGAUCUCAGUUAACACAAACUUGGGAUCUUGGAUGUGGAAAAAGCUAUUGAAGAUGAGGAGUAUUGCAAGGCAAUUUCUAAAGGUUGAGGUCGGUAAUGGAAGUCACACCUCAUUCUGGCAUGAAGUAUGGUCUCAGAUUGGGUGUCUUAAGGAGGUGAUAGGUGAUCGUGGCGUUAUUGCCCUUGGCAUAGCAAACAACGCUACGAUGGCAGAUGUUAUAUCAAAUCAUCGACGGCGGAGGCACAGACAAAGUAUUCUCAACGACAUAGAAGAUGAGAUUGAUAGGCUGCGUAUUGGAGGGUUAGCCGAUAUCGAUGAUGUUAAGCUUUGGAAGUGGGGUGAAGGGAAAUAUCUGAGUAAAUUCUCUUCAAAGAGGACCUGGCAACAGGUGCGAAAUGAGCAUCAAACCUGUGCUUGGAGUCAAGGUAUAUGGUUUCCUCAGUCUACUCCAAAAUACUCUUUCAUGUUAUGGAUUGCGCGAAGGAACAGAUUGCAAACAGGAGACAAAAUGCAAGCUUGGAACGUCUCUGUGAGCACAGAGUGUGUUCUGUGUCGGGGAGUUCAGGAGACAUGCAAGCACCUUUUCUUUCAGUGUCCUUACUCGACUGAAGUGUGGGAAUCUCUGGUGAAAGGGCUUCUUAGGGAUGACUUCACUACUGACUGGGAUGAUAUUGGGGAAAUGGUUUGUGGUAGAAACUACCCUCCAACAGAAAUGUUUCUUAUCAGAUACUCUCUUCAGGCUGCAGUUCAUAGCAUAUGGAGAGAAAGAAAUGGCAGAAGGCAUGGAGAGGAACCAAAAACGGCUGCUAUAUUGAGUAAGCUUAUUGACAAAACGAUAAGGCUUCAUCUCCUUGCUGUCAAAGCCACGGGUCAAGCAUACUUGGAAAGGAGUUUAUGCACUUGGUUUGGAACAAGGCAAGUUCCAAAUCCAACAUAGAAAAUAGAAAAUAGAAAGUUUUUUAUUUUAGUUGAUUGAGUAUAUAAAUAAAAAACAGAAGCACUAGAUGUAACACAGUUUUGACUGAAUAUAAUUUUACAUUCAUUCAAAAAAAUAAGUUUAAAAUUUAGGCCAAUUAUUUUAAUGGCAAAAGGCUUUUGGUUAGUAAUAUAUAUCGUUGUUUUUAGAACACAUCUAUACUAUUAUUUGCGAAGUAAAUUUUUGGAAUCGUGCUCUCACGUUAAAAGUUAGAGUGGUUAAUAUCGUUUAUACCCUUAAUGAAUAAAAUGUAUAACUAAAUUAAAAAAUAAAAACGAAAUUUUAAUUGAUUUAAUUAUAUAAUUGAAUAAAAUUAAUAAUAGUAAGAAUUAUCCAACAUCUGAAAAUAUAAUUUAAAAAAGAGUUAAUUUCUAUUUUCUGUAUAUAUUGUAUUGUUAUCUAAAAGUCUUUUAGUAAAAAUUUAAAAACAUGAAUAAUAUAACUAAAUACUAAUCAAAUAAAAUUCUUAAUUACAUAAUAAUAAUAGAAUAUUGAAUUAUUAAUAAUAGUUAGAAUUAUCCAAAAUCUGAAAAUAUAAUUUUUAAAAGAGAUAAUUUAUGUAUAUAUUGUAUUGUUAUCUGAAAAAGUAUUUUAGUAAAAAGUUAAAACAUGAAUUAUAUAACUAAAUACUUAUCAAAUAAAAUUCUUAAUUAUAUAAUUAAAAAUAGAAUAUUGAAUUAUCCAAAAUCUAAAAAUAUAAUUAAAAAAGAUAAUUUCUAUAUAUAUAUAUAUUUUUUAUUGUUAUCUGAAAAAGUAUUUUAGUAAAAAGUUAAAACAUAAAUUAUAUAAUUAAAUAUUAAUCAAAUAAUAUUUUUACUAAAAUUAUGAAUAUACUGUACAAAAAACUUUUCAAAAAUUAUGAAAAUGUUUAAGUCCGCAUCGCGGGCAAAACACCUAGUUUGAAUAAAAACCAUAAACUUUCAGUUAAUUUCACUAAGAUUUUGAACAACUAAAGUAACCAAUAAACAGGCCGUAGCUGUAUUAAGUAAAUUUUAGAAUAAUUUAAAACCAAAAUUACCUAUCUAACCGAAAAUAUGAACCAAACCGAUCAGAGGAACCGAUAGAUAGCUUAAAAGGUGGUUAACUCGUUUUGGGUAUUGGGCCUCAUUGGGAUUUAAAUUUAAAAAAUGUGGAACAUUGUAUUCGAACGGGGUUCAAAAUUGAGAAAUUCAAAUUACCUCCCAUCUUCCCCCUUUCUGUCACUCAUUUCAAUCUAAAAUGGGGGUGAAGUAUCUGUGGGAAGUAGUAGAGCCUUGCAAGAAGAGAUAUCCACUCGAUCAUCUUCAGUGAGUAUUCUUGUUUCCUCUCAGAAAAUUUUAUGCUGUAUAAUUAAAGAAAAGACAAGGCCUUGACUUAGACGAGAUCUCAUCUCCGUCGUCCGCAGAAACAAGAGGGUAUGCGUGGAUCUCUCGUGUUGGAUGGUGGAAUUGCAUAAAGUGAACCAGUCGUAUUGCGCCACUAAAGAAAAAGUUUAUCUCCGAGGCUUCUUUCAUCGUCUUCGAGCCCUAAUUGCCCUAAACUGCUCCAUCAUUCUAGUCUCAGGUAUCUAUCUAUCUAUUUCCGAAAUUGCCAUCAAUUUCAACGAGUUUGUUCAGUAGUGAUCAAAUCAGUUCUGAGUUGUCAGUGCUUUGCUCUAAAGAAUUGAUCUUUUUUGUUUAUGUGUCUUGUAAUUGAUUGUAGAUGGUUCAAUUCCUGGAAUCAAAGUACCAACGUACAGGCGUCGAUUAAAAGCAAGAUUCGAGGUGCACUGCAUGCUAACUAAAUGAGGCACUAGUGUUCUUUUGUUCCUUGCAUCUCAUUCUCAUGGUUAGUUAUUUUCACCGGUUAACACUUUAUGGGUCUAGCCAGGUUGCUGACGAUGGCGGCGUCGAACCUGGGAAAGAGACUUCACUCAGAAGGAAUAAGGGGUCUGAGUUCUCUUGCAUGAUAAAAGAGGCCAAAGUUAUUGCUUCCACACUGGGGAUACUCUGUUUAGACGGGUAAUUCUUCAAGAUUGACAAUACUACUUUUUGGUUCGAGUGUUUUGCCAAGUUGUAAACAUGGACACAUGAAAGCAUAUCCUUCAAUUGCAGGGUUGAGGAAGCUGAAGCACAAUGUGCUCUGUUAAACUCUGAAAACUUAUGUGUAAGAUACAUUUUGCCCUUUCUUGUUCGUCAAUCUUCAUGCUGUUAACUCAUUACUCAAGUGAUAAGUUUUCGUUUUCCUGAUUAUCGAUCGAUAGGACGCCUGUUUUAGCUCUGAUUCAGAUAUUUUCCUUUUUGGGGCAAAGACUGUGUACCGAGAGAUAUGCCUUGGUGAGUGGAAAGAGACUCCUUAGCCGUCGUGAUUUCUUUUACCAUCCCUUUAGUUAAUUGUUGUGGUUAGAUAUAUAACUUAAUCAAUCUUCUUGAACUAGGUGAAGGAGGUUACGUUGUUUGCUAUGAGAUGGAAGACAUCAAGAAAAAGCUUGGGCUUGGACGGAACUCAUUGGUAACUUGACGAGUCUCUUUUAGUCAUUAGCUUUACAUACUUAACCGUGUUGGUUUGAUCAGCAAAAGUAUGACUGAUGAAUGCAUACUUGCAAAAGGUGGCGUUUGAUAUUUUAACCUACAAUGUUUUCUUUUUGUUAGACUAGAAAACGCAGCUACAGACUGUUGUAUGUUGUUCCAUAUGUCAAUGAACUUUGAGAUGUUUGCUAUGAUGUUUCAUCAGUUUAAAGGUUACUUACUCAGAAGUUUGUUCCAUGAGGUUACAGAUAGCUCUGGCGCUUCUGCUUGGCAGUGACUACUCUCAGGGAGUUCGUGGUAUUCGUCAGGUUUGUUGUUAACUGAAGCUCUCGAACCAUUAUCUAUAGGGGUUUUCAUAUUAUUUGCAGACAUUAUUAAGGUUGAAUUUCUUCUUCAAACAAACAGGAGAAAGCCUGCGAGAUUGUUAGGUCUGUUGGAGAAAACGUUAUCCUUGAAAAAGUUUCAUCAGAAGGACUCGCUUUUGUCAAAAAUAAGAGAAAUUCAAAGAAGCAAAUUAGGCCUAAAAAGGGGACCUUACCCUUGGUGGCUGUAAAUGGUAUUGUGAUUUGACAUGGUUCGCUUAUGCAGUUAGUUGAUUUUCCUAGAUAUAUUUUGUUCGUCUCAUAGAAGCUCUUUUCGUAAUUACUACUUGGUUUAGGAAGUAGUCAUGAUCCAGAGGGACUGCAAGAGAUCAAAGAGGUGAUCGAUGCGUUCAUGAAUCCCAAGUGCCACAAUGCAGACUCUAAUACAGUUUCCAGGUUAAACCUUAUUUCCAUUUCCUUGUAGUGAUAGUUCUUCUCCUCAAUAUAACUAUGCGUGGAGCUAGCAAUAAGGGAUCACCGAUUUUGUUCUGAAUUAAGUCAUGUUACAUGCAUUGUUUGCAGUUUCUACUGAUAAAGUAUUAGUGUUGCUUGUUUGUGUCAAACUAGUUACUUAAAAUAAACAAGAGAGCACAAAGGAAACUAAAGAUGGAAUCAAAUGCUUCCUCAAAGUGCCUGAAAGAAAUCAAAAUGAUUUCAGACAAUAUACAAGCUGGGAACAGGAAUAUAUGUUAAUCCUGGAGAUUAGUGAGCUUAGAAAAGGUUGAAUGUAUAUUUAGAUAUGAAUUUCAGUACUGGUUUUGCAGAGCUCUGGCUGAAUUCACUUUCCAGCGCACCAAGCUACAGGAGAUAUGCCACCAGUUCUUUGAGUGGCCCUCUGAGAAAACAGGUAUCAAUUUUGAACUUCUUCUAUUCCUUGUUGGUUUGCAUUUGCAGUCAUUGUGCAGAAACGAUUGUGUAACCAACCUUCUUAUUUCUCUCUAUCUUUCUUUUAGAUGAAUACAUACUUCCUAAAAUCGCUGAAAGAAAUCUGAGAAGGUAUGCUAUUCUGCAAUCAAGAUCAACUGAGGUUGGCGUUAACCGGCCUCUCCACAAGGUGCCUUUUCUUUCUCUUACUGCACGUUAUUUUCUAUAGAUCUUUGAAGUUAAAGCAACUACAUAAGUUGUGCGAAAUUGAUACGUACGGUACAUAAAAGUUUAUGGAUUGGUAAAGGAAGUUUUUGGCUCAGACAUUAAAAGUCGAUUGGCUUCACCUUGCAUAAUUCAGUUGGAAAUUAAACAAGAACAUGUCUUAACUCUGGAACGAAAAUAUUCUUCUGCAGCUACAGGUGCCAGAGAAGUGCCCGGUGUCUGAAAUCAUUAAGACUCGCAAAGUACAGGGACGAGAAUGUUUUGAAGUCUCAUGGAAUGAUCUAGAAGGGCUAGAGACGUCUAUUGUUCCUGCAGAUCUUGUAGAAAGGUAAUGAUAAUGCUCAAAGUCAGACCUUCACCCAUUUGUCGAAAGGAUUCAAAUAAAGUUGACAUUUAGCUGUGGUUCAGUUUUGUUUGAAUUAAAAUAGUAUGUCUGAAGUAAGCAGUUCUUCAGGUAAAUUAGUCAGUUACUUGUUACUAAAAAUGCCCUAGUUCAGCGAUAUUUGGUUAGCUUGGUUAUAGAAACUUUCAUAUAUCUACAUAUGCAGCCAAAUGCUACUGUAACUUUGUCACAUAGCACCCAAAACAUUGUUCAGAUUUUUUGGUUAGCUUACAUUGAAGAACCUUCUAAUAUAUGUUUUGCCAAUUUAUCCUUCUUUUUUUUAUGUUAGGGCUUGUCCUGAGAAGAUCAUAGAGUUCAAGGAGAAAAUGGAAGCAAAGAAGAAGAAGAAGAAGAAGAAGCCGAAACAAAAACAACCUAAAUCAAAAGAGAAGGAAACAAGUUCACCGAGUAAAGCUUCUUCACUUAUCGAACUCAGCCUCCAACUCCAACAGAUUGAUCUUAGUUCAACAUCUGACCUAGCUACAAGCACCAUAGAAGAAGCAGAGCAAGAGAAAGAACAGCAAAAAUCCAAGAAACAUGAUUACUUGCGUCUAAUCGAUUCACCUGCUAAAGAAAAUUCCAGUAUUGGUUGGUCGACCAUUGGUAAAUUCGGUGUUGGCUCGAGCUCUUAUUCAUUCUAUCCAGAAACAGAAGUCAUUGAUCUGAUAAGCCCUUGUCCUGAAGCUCGGUCACGGAACGUGUCAAGAAGUUAUCAAGAACAGAAGUCUCAGGAGCAGAAGUGCCUUCAUCACAAACUUGAGAAUGUGAUUGAGCUGAGUGAUUCAGAGACAGAUGAUGAUGAUGAUGAUGAUGGUGAACAUUGCAGAAAAGCCAGAGAGCUUAGGAUGUUCUUGCAAAAUAUUAGGAAAGACGUUAUCCGCUGAGCCAAAAGUGGACGAUGAUCAUUUAUGAUAAGUGACUAUGCUAUGUUAUUAUGUACGAAUUGUUCCAUUCCACAUAAUGUCUAUGAUUUAUGAAUUCUUUUUUUUUUUUUUUAAUUGUGUAGGUUUCAUGAAAACUGUUAGUAAAACAGCUAUUAUUAAUAAACAGAUUCUCUUUGUUGGCAGUGAUAGUUUUGCUGUUGAAAUUUAAAUCAUGCUACUUGUUUAGUAGUUUCUACUUAUAGGUUCUAACUAUUGGUGAUGCUUCUUUGCGUUAAAACUGGUAACUUUAAAGUAAACAAGAGAGCACAGAGGAAAUUAAAUAUGGUAUGAAAUGCCUCAAGGGGAUUUCUGAUGAGAUACAAGCUUAGAAGAAGAGAAAUAACUGUUACCCCUGAAGAUUACUGAACUUUAAAAAAAAAUGUUAUUUGAUAAAAAAAAAAAACAAAAACAAAAAAUGUUGAAUGUAUAUAAUGAAAUAUGAAAUAAGUGAUUAUGAAUUUAAUGAUUGAACUCAUUGUCCGACAAGAAAAUCAAUAAAGAUCAAAAACAAGAAAAUCAAGAAACAAGAUUCCCAACAACAACACAUCACAUGAGCCAAACUCCGAAACAGAGCCCCACAAUCGCCGUCACAAUAAUACUGGUUCGUGUAACUGGAACGGCGCCGUUUUUAUCAUCAGCAACCUCACCGUCAUCGUCCGACGGAGCAUCGGCACUGGGUCCAUCAGCGUCUUCAUCAGCCUCAGCAUUCUUAGGCUUGUGCUUACUUGAUUUAGGUGCUGGAGCAGACGCCUUAACGGCCUUAUAGAUCUCUCUCGGCAACAAAACUUUAUCAAUCUUGUAAAUAAUCAACGGCUCUUGGUCCUUUAACGUCCCCGUUAACUUCGCCGUCACAACGUCCGUCUCAAGCGUCACUUCCUCUCCGUCGUUCUGAACCGUGAAGUCAAACUUGUUGUUACCCUCAGUCGCCAACGUGUUAACGGCGCCGUUACCUGAUCUAAGCAUCUGCAACGACUGGUAAACGGGCAUGCCGUGGUACAACACCAACGCCGUCUUGUUCGCAGCGGAGAGGGCUUUGAACUUCGGCGCGAAUUUCCCGACGGCGCUGUCGGAAGGACAGAACACCGUCAAGCCUCCGUCGACGGUGUCUUGAAACGUCUUGUCGGCUCCGGUGGAUUUCAACAUGUCGGAGAAAGCUUUGCAUCCUUGCUUUUCGAGAAUGGAGGUGAGGAUGAGAUCGCUAGGGCUCGCGGUGGGAGCCUCUGCUUCCGGGGAGGUCAAGACUUGGCUGAUGUGAAGGACGGAGAUGUUGUAAGCCUUCUCGAAGAUGGAUUUGAUGUAGCGAGCCGUGAGUUGACUGUCGUCGUCUUGGACACCGAAAGCAACUUUCCCGCCUUUGAUGUCGGUGAUGUUGACGUAGCCGGAAGUUCCCGUGGCGGAUCCGGUGGACUGGAACAUGGACGCGGUGGAGGUGGAGCCGUCUGUGAUCUGGUGGAGCUUUUUGGCUCCGAAGUAAUCUACGAGGACGUGGAGGGAGAGAAUGUUGCGGAUUGUGUAGAGUGAGUAGCCUUUGGAGAGGAUUGAGUUCAUUGCUGAGUUGUCAACGGCCAAGACGGUGAUGGUUUGACGGCGGUUGAUCUCGUCGGCGAGAUGGGUGGCCGAGAGGUAGUGGUUGAAAGUGGAGAAGUCAGGGUCUUUGGCCAAGAUUUUGGUUAUGUUGUGGGCGUUUGAGAGAGACAAGAGUUGGAACAUAAUAAUAAUCAAUGCGGCGGCUGCUCGCCGGAGAUAAGCCAUUUUGG